CAGCAUUAUAGAGAGUGCCCCAUAUGCUUGGUUUACUCUCUUUUUUGACUGCUCUGAGGGAUUCACCCUGCUUCAUCCCAGGCUGAGGAACUGUGGAAUGGUGCUGGAGAGAUCGCUGAAGCUGUGGACUUCAGAGAAUGAACUGAGAAGCUGAAUAUUCAAUUUCCAGAUCUUGCAGUCCAUUAAGAGGUGAUCACCAUCUCUGGAUAGUGUGGAGGUGCAUGAUUUCUGGCACCUCCUUCAAAACAGACACACAGAACAGAUCAGGUCUUGGACUACAAGAGGCCCCACGUCACUGUAAGAUGCAGACUGCUCCAUCUGACAGCUCCUGCUAAGCUGUAUAACUUUGAAGUGUGGUGAUCAGCGAAGGAACCAUGAUGCCUGUGCAUACAAACUGAAAAUUAAAAACGGAUCUGUGGGUGAAACAUCAAGAUCAUGUCGAAGACCCUUUAAUUCACAUCUGCUUGCCGAUCUACGUGGGGGGUGGGGGUGGUGUUUACUCCUUGUUUUUUCUUAAUAAAGGAAGAUCGUAGGUUGUACUAUAAAGAACUAACUUAGUUCAGUAACUGCAGAAUAACCACUACGCACACAAUGACUAACACUGGGCAAAUUUCAGUUGGUCAAAGUAGAACCAUGAUGGAAAUGCUUGAGACAUUUAACUAGUACAGCUAAACAAACCAGAAAUGGUCACCGGUGCAAUCAAAUAUCUGUGAUUUGUGCAUAAAAGUAUGUUUAAGUGGAUCCAGUUUCUAGGCGGGCAUGUUAUGUAAAAUGAAAAUAUUAAUCCAUAAUGAAGUUGCACUAAUUUAGAACAACCAGAGCUAAAAGGUCAUGAUUAGGUAGUUUCAUACUUUGUGGCUCCCUGUACAAUUUUCUUUUCCAUGAUUUGUUUCCAUCAGGUAAUACACCCUUCAGCACUUAUGCUCACAAGUACAGAGAAGAGUAUCUGUCAGUCUGAAUACACUGCCUUUACCACAACCACAUUCCUGUUCCCCGCCCACCCCCUGCAGUGUCCCAGAAUGUCUCCUGCACCACAGUGCCAGACUGGAUGCAAUCCAUUUUAGAAAUACCUUGUAGGGUUGAGAGUCACCAAAAUCUGUCAUGAGUAGAAAGAGAUAACUGGAAAUGUAAUAAAAACAAGUGAGCUAAAGCUAUUUGGUGUGGCAGAAAGGCAGUCACUUGUAUUUAUAAAUAAUUGUCAAGAGCCUGCAUUUCCUGAAACUUUCAAUUUUUUUUACUUUCACAGUUUAUAUACUUGAAGAAAGGGACUGAUCCACCAGUGAAUUAUGAAGUUGUUUCAAAUCACUUGACACACAAAACCUUGAAUAUGUUUAUGUCCCAAUUCCAAACACCAGCGUAUACUGCCAACAUUAAAUUGGUAUAAAAGCUUCACUUCCUAAACUCUUUCCAUGUUGUUUACAAUGGGAAAAUUGCCAAGAAUAUGGACUAAUUAGCUGCAAACUCUUGAGCAGCUUUGUGCUUUGGUUUUGUAGUUACUGAGAACUGGAUUGAGA